rnacentral:rRNA from 1 species
AACGAACGCUGGCGGCAUGCCUAACACAUGCAAGUCGAACGAGACCUUCGGGUCUAGUGGCGCACGGGUGCGUAACGCGUGGGAACCUGCCCUUAGGUUCGGAAUAACUCCCCGAAAGGGGUGCUAAUACCGGAUAAUGUCUUCGGACCAAAGAUUUAUCGCCUUUGGAUGGGCCCGCGUUGGAUUAGCUAGUUGGUAGGGUAAAAGCCUACCAAGGCGACGAUCCAUAGCUGGUCUGAGAGGAUGAUCAGCCACACUGGGACUGAGACACGGCUCAGACUCCUACGGGAAGCAGCAGUGGGGAAUAUUGGACAAUGGGCGAAAGCCUGAUCCAGCAAUGCCGCGUGAGUGAUGAAGGCCUUAGGGUUGUAAAGCUCUUUUACCCGGGAUGAUAAUGACAGUACCGGGAGAAUAAGCUCCGGCUAACUCCGUG